rnacentral:rRNA from 1 species
UACGUAGGUGGCAAGCGUUGUCCGGAUUUACUGGGCGUAAAGCGUGCGCAGGCGGUUCUCCAAGUCCGUUGUGAAAGCCCCGGGCUCAACCUGGGAAUGGCAAUGGAUACUGGCGAGCUAGAGUGUGUCAGAGGAUGGUGGAAUUCCCGGUGUAGCGGUGAAAUGCGUAGAGAUCGGGAGGAACAUCAGUGGCGAAGGCGGCCAUCUGGGACAACACUGACGCUGAGGCACGAAAGCGUGGGGGAGA